GUGUCAGCCGCCGCGGUAAUACGUAGGGGGCAAGCGUUGUCCGGAUUUAUUGGGCGUAAAGAGCGUGUAGGCGGCCAGGCAGGUCGGUUGUGAAAACUGGAGGCUUAACCUCCAGACGUCGACCGAAACCUCUUGGCUAGAGUCCGGAAGAGGAGAGCGGAAUUCCUGGUGUAGCGGUGAAAUGCGCAGAUAUCAGGAAGAACACCCGUGGCGAAGGCGGCUCUCUGGGACGGUACUGACGCUGAGACGCGAAAGCGUGGGGAGCGAACAGGAUUAGAAACCCGCGUAGUCC
rnacentral:rRNA from 1 species